CGCUAGUCGGUUUUUUGUAGUCGCUCAGUGCAGGCGUGCAGCUCGCCGUGAAAUUUUUUGUAUGUGCGUUUUUUUUUUCGAUUUAUCAUCUUUUUUUCGAACGACGCGCUUGGAAUUCAAUUUGUGGUUCGUUCAACAGACGCGAAGUUAAACCGAGUGUAGCCAAGUUAAAGAAGCCAAAUUAAAGCAUUUGAUUAGUAAGUGUUAAACAAAUGCAAAUAAAAUGCCAUUGAUGAGCGACGGAGGAGAAAAGUGAAAAGCAAAUUUUCUGCUACGCUUGAGAACCGAAACGAAACAGCAACAAGAAACAGAAGAAGAAGAAGCAGCAGCAGAACAAGACAAUUGAGCGAGACGAAGACGAAAGCGAAAAGCUGAAGAGAAGUAGAGAAAAAGAUCAUGCGUGCUUGACGACGACGCUGGCAAGGCCAAUACAUGCAGUAGAGGGGCGGACAGCGGGCGAGACAACAACAACAAUAAAUAGUGCCAAACACAAUGCACAAGAUAGACAACAAGAAAACGAGGAGCAACAACAGUAUUUGUAUUUCCACAUAAUUGACAACGAGCGCCUGCAAACGUGCGCACAAGAAGCCACACAAGAGAGAGCCCACGAAAUUAGAUGAAGAAAAUAAGACACAAAACAACAACAAAAUUACCGCUCAGCAUUGCUCAAGCAUAUGUAUAUGUGUGAAUAUAUAUAUGUGUGUGUGUCUCUCUCUCUCAGUCUCUGUGUUUUGAAAGUACAGCGAAGGCAACAGGCGUCUAACAGUGUUGUGUGCAGCAGCUAAGCUUACCUUCAGCUGGGCUCAGACAAACAGGAGACACCGCUACGAAAACAGUGUUGUGUGCAGCAGCUGCAGAAAAAAGUAGUAUUAUGACGAACUAAUGCAAAGGAGGCUCUUAACAAGAAAAACAUUGCAGGAAAUGUAGCAACCAAUGCAAUUAGGCAAUUAAAACUGUGUUCAAUCAAUUUCGAUUUUGAAUUGUUAAUAUAAACAUAUUUAUUAUAUUGAAAGUGCAGUAAAAACAGUGUUGCGUGCAACAGUAAAACUAGGCAUACAAACAAACGAGGAUUGAGAAACGAAGCCUUGCGCAAUACAUUUUAAAUUCCACUCCCUCACACACACAAACGCACACACAAAGAUGAAGAGCUUUUGGCUUUUGCUAGCGCUGCUGAUCGGCACUGCGAACAGCCAAGAGGAUUUGCUCACAACAACAACGACAGCGGCGUCGCCUGGCAGCGCGUCGGGUCGGCCGCCUCCACCGCGUGUUUUGAUAAACAAGUGUUGCCACCAUGGCGAAUAUUUGAUUGGCAGCACUCUGGAGUGCGUCGCUGGCUCGUCUGAGAAGUGGGUGCCGCUGGUCUAUCUGAAACAGCAGAAUCGCUUCUUUGAGCCCAGAGGCGCCAAGCCACGGUUCAUGAAGUUCCUGCCGAACGUGCGGCCGCCUUGCCAGGCGCAGGGCCAGCAGCAGGAGCUGUUUAGUAGCCGUGACGCGAAUGUCGUACUCCUGACCAAUGGCACGAUGAAGGUGCACGAGCGUGGCCUGUUUAUCGAGCCCUCUCGCUACUGUGUGGAUCAAGGCGUGGCGCUGGUCUGCCUCGACAAGGACAAGAACAAUGAUCUUGAGACCCCAGCGGCUGCUGAUGGCACAGGUGCAUCAGCCUCCACUGACGAUGCACUGCGACCGGCCAGCUCGACAGCGCCCAUGCUGCGUCUGCGCAAAUGCUGCGGCAAGUGUUGCUACUACGAUACCGUGGCCAAGACCUGCAGCGUCCUGACGCCCGCCGAGCGCAGCUCGGACAGUGGGCAGCUGAAUCUGCCCAAUCUGGAGACAGGCAGUUACCAGACUACCUAUGAGCUGCCCGAUUGCAAAGGCAACGGCACUGGCUAUGCCAUAGCCGGGGACUGGCACGAGGCGACACUGAACCGGAGCAGCGGUUCCCUCCAGCUCAGCCACACGAAUUUGACGGCUGCGCAGUUCUGCCUGGAGCACACGCAGCGAGCAGGAGAGGUGAAGAUCAUUGCCUGCACCCAGCACUUUGCCGAUGACCACAACAAUGUCUCCUAUGGCGGGGCAAACGGCAAUCUGCAAAAGGCCGUGCUGGACGUGGGCAUCAUCAUAUCCAUUAUCUUUUUGGCGGCCACUCUGGUUGCCGGGUAUAUGCUGCCGGCAGUGCAUCAUGCACUGCACUGGCGUUGCCAGAUCUACUACGUGUUCUGCCUGCUGGUGGGCAAGAUUCUGCUGGCCAUUGAGGAGCUGAGCACAAGCCUGGAGCCGGGCACAGCAAGCUGUCUGCUCAUUGCCAUUGGCAUGCAGUUCUUCUUCCUGUCCGCCUUCUUCUGGCUGAACACGAUGUGCUUCAACAUCUGGUGGACAUUCCGAGACUUUCGGCCCAGUUCGCUGGAGCGCAAUCAGGAGUCGAUUCGUCUGCGUCUAUACUCCGUCUAUGCCUGGGGCUUGCCCCUGCUCAUCUGCGCCAUUGCCGCCUUUGUGGAUCAGCUGCCGGAGACGGAGACCUCGAUGUUGCGGCCGGGCUUUGGUCAGCCGUUUUGCUGGUUCGACAAUCGCUCGCUGACCAUCUUCGCCUACUUCUACGGCCCGAUCGGACUGCUGUUGUGCGCCAACAUUGUGCUCUUCAUCUCCACCACGCAUCAGCUGACGUGUGGACUGUGGAAGCGCGACGAUGUCAAGUCCACGUCGGAGAAAUCGGCGCUGGGUCGCGUGUGCCUGAAGCUGGUGGUGGUGAUGGGCGUCACCUGGAUCUGGGACAUCAUCUCGUGGCUGGUGGGCGGGCCGCAUGGUGCCUGGCUGUUGACGGAUCUCAUCAAUGCGCUCCAAGGCGUCUUCAUAUUCAUUGUGGUCGGCUGCCAGCCGCAGGUGUGGACCGCCUGCAAGCGCAUCUGCUGUCCGCGCCUCCGACACGACAUCACCAACACCACCAAUGGCGUGCAGCACUCGAGCAGCUCCCAGGGUCUGCCCUCCAUGGCCAAUGGCACCGAAUUCACCCAAAACAUAUCCAUGAACAACACGAUAACAACCAUGACACCUGCCAGCCCCACCACAGAGGAGGCCCCCACCUCGAUACCUGCGACGUGCAGUCCAACUACCCAACCCCCAUCCAUACCCCAAGGAGGAGCAGCAGCAGCAGCAACAACAACAGCAAAGAUACCCCUGGAGACCAUUUGCUAAGAAAACUGAGACGAGCGACAAUGCGAAAGUAAACCGAGUCCUACAACAACUACAACAGCAGCAGCAGCAACAACAGCAACAACAAUGACAAUGAAGGCAGCAACAACAGCAACCACCGCAAGCGGGCAGGCUUGCGCAAUAGCAGAGACAACAACAACAACAGCAGCAGCAGCAGCAGCAAAAACAACAGUAAUAACCGCAAUAAGCACAACAUUCAAGCACGCGCAUUGACCGAACGAGCGAGAGGCCAACUUGACUGCCCAGCCCCAGGCCCCAGGCCCGAGCCCAUGCCCAGGCCCAUGCCCAUGCUCAGCUGGCCAAGCUCUUUCUUGCAAUAAUUUACCAUCAACUGAUUUCAAUUGGAAGGAGUGGAUCUUGUCGUUUGUGGAACAUGGAAGCUGUGGAUCUUUUAUGGCUUGCCAUUCCAGCUAAAAGCAGAGGAUGUAACUGUAAACACUGGAAAUCAAAUUGUUUAGGUGUGUGAAUGUGUGUGUGUAUUGUUUUUUAGCGCGCGUUUAAUUAAACAAACAUUGAGAACGGUUAAAUAGUUUACUUUGAUAUGCACACAUACACACACACAAGCACACAGCAAAGUCAUAACAAUAACACACACACAGGCCCAAAAGUUCAACGGAAUGAAAACUGAUCAAGGUUAAAUGGCGCAGAGCAAUAUAAAAAAAAUAAUAAUAUAAAUAGAAGCGAAAUACAAAAAAACAACAACCACAAAUAGACAAAAAGCAGAGAUAAAGAAGAUGCCAAAAGAAGAAAGCGCGUUUAAUUAACCGGACGCACAAACACACACGCGAUGCACAGUUAAGUUGGUGCAGUUGCCAGACCUGCGCGCAGAGC